rnacentral:rRNA from 1 species
AUUGAACGCUGGCGGCAGGCCUAACACAUGCAAGUCGAAUGGUAACAGGAAGAAGCUUGCUUCUUUGCUGACGAGUGGCGGACGGGUGAGUAAUGUCUGGGAAACUGCCUGAUGGAGGGGGAUAACUACUGGAAACGGUAGCUAAUACCGCAUAACGUCGCAAGACCAAAGAGGGGGACCUUCGGGCCUCUUGCCAUCGGAUGUGCCCAGAUGGGAUUAGCUAGUAGGUGGGGUAACGGCUCACCUAGGCGACGAUCCCUAGCUGGUCUGAGAGGAUGACCAGCCACACUGGAACUGAGACACGGUCCAGACUCCUACGGGAGGCAGCAGUGGGGAAUAUUGCACAAUGGGCGCAAGCCUGAUGCAGCCAUGCCGCGUGUAUGAAGAAGGCCUUCGGGCUGUAAAGUACUUUCAGCGGGGAGGAAGGGAGUAAAGUUAAUACCCUUGCUCAUUGACGUUACCCGCAGAAGAAGCACCGGCUAACUCCGUG